rnacentral:lncRNA from 1 species
UAUUUGUUCCACGUUACACCACAAACCUUUUUAUUUGAAAGAAUUUUAAAAUUAAAUUAAUAUGGCAAGCCUUGCUCCAGCAGUUCUGUUCGAUGGUGAUUUUUUGGAAAGCUCAGAUUUUGAUACGGUCUAAAAGGACAACUCAAUAGAGCCAUGUCAAUAUCAGGAGAAUUAAAAUAUAGUAGUUCUGUUGUUUACAUUUAUUUAAUAAAUGUGAAGUGUAUGAAAGAGGUUUUAAAUGGCCACCCAUUUUCAUGAUUUCUGACUUGGGGUUGUAUGUUUCUCUUACUGGAUAUUGAAACUGAUUCAGAAUCAGUCAUUUAGUUGAUUUAUGUUGAUAAGGUUCGCAUUGAGAUCCUUAAAAUAUGACAUUGAAGCUUCUCAAUUAAGUCAAUUAUAAGCCAAAAUCAUUGUCAUUAUUUCAUGUAAAUAUAGCUAUUAUAGUCUUGCAAACAUGGAAGAAGCUUCCAAAUUAUGGUGAUUGAUAUAUAUGUUAAUUUUUUGCUAUUAAUUCGUUUUUAGGUAAAUCAUUGUCAUUAUUUCAUGUAAAUAUAGCCAUUAUAGUCUUGCAAACAUGGAAGAAGUUUCUAAAUUAUGGUGAUUGAUAUAUAUGUUAAAUUUUUGUAUUAAUUCCUUUAGUUUUUUUAUAUUUUAACUUGAGUAUUCAGUUGAUCACUUUAUUUUAAGAAAACCUCACUCCUACAAUUAAAUAGGUUAUUCAAUUUAAUAUGUCUUACAUUUUUUUUGUGUAUUAAACCAUUUGGUAUUCGAAGACCACAUUGGACCCCAGUUAAUUCACAUUCGAGUCGGAUAUGACCACUAGGGUAGAAAAACUCUUCCAACAAGAAUUUAACGCAGCUGCAUUCACAAGUCUCGAAUUGAGAUCCGUAGUUAAGAUAGAACAGUCUCAUACCAACUGAUCUACGCGCUUGUUGGUCUUGCAUUUUCAUUUUAUAGUCUCUUUGUAUCAAAUCUUAUAAUUAUAAUUGCUUUAUCAUGCUGUUAAAGUGAACUACGUUGGACCCAAGCAUUAUAGAUUACAAAGAUCUUAAUGAAAUCUAAAUCUUGAAUGAGAAAAACAUUUACUUAUAAAAAGAAAGAAAAAAACUUGACAAAGUUAUUAAAAGACAGAUAUCUCAAGUAAGAUCACGAACACAAACAAAGGUGAUAAAACUCUUUUUAAGUUUGGUGAUAAAAAAAAAAUGAUUACCUUCUUGUAAAGAAAUUAACAGCGUAAAUUUUUAAACACAUAUAAUCACUUUAA